rnacentral:rRNA from 1 species
AUUGAACGCUGGCGGCAUGCCUUACACAUGCAAGUCGAACGGUAACAGGUCUUCGGAUGCUGACGAGUGGCGAACGGGUGAGUAAUACAUCGGAACGUGCCUAGUAGUGGGGGAUAACUACUCGAAAGAGUGGCUAAUACCGCAUGAGAUCUACGGAUGAAAGCAGGGGAUCGCAAGACCUUGUGCUACUAGAGCGGCCGAUGGCAGAUUAGGUAGUUGGUGGGAUAAAAGCGUACCAAGCCGACGAUCUGUAGCUGGUCUGAGAGGACGAUCAGCCACACUGGGACUGGGACACGGCCCAGACUCCUACGGGAGGCAGCAGUGGGGAAUUUUGGACAAUGGGAGCAAGCCUGAUCCAGCAAUGCCGCGUGCAGGAUGAAGGCCUUCGGGUUGUAAACUGCUUUUGUACGGAACGAAAAGCCCUGGGUUAAUACCCUGGGGUCAUGACGGUACCGUAAGAAUAAGCACCGGCUAACUACGUGCCAGCCGCCGCAGUAAGAC